rnacentral:lncRNA from 1 species
UUUUAACAUCCUUUUGAAGUCCAACUUGACCUUUUGCGCUUAAGCUAUACCAUAAGAAAAUUGGAGUCAAACCGUUACGACUACCAGAAAUAGUGGCAUCGACAGAAGCAAUGUAUUCCACAUUUGUUGAGAGAUUAUUGAUGUAGCUUUUUCUUGUUAUUUGGACACCACAAGGCAUUGGGCAUCCUAAGAACUUGUGACCAGAAAUUGUGACACUUCCAAUUGGCUUCUUGAAACUAAUCAUCUGUUCAAAUUGCACAAAGAAUUAUUAGAAUAUCGCUUUGAGAAUUACUUACGAGUUUGUUAGAAGUAAGAAGCAAUUGAAACUCACAUUGUUUAUAAAAGGGGUCAUAAGACCACAUAGUGCUGCAUCACAAUGGAUGUAAAACCUAUCUUGUGAAUAGCCACAUUCUUUGAGUGUUUCAAGAAUAACAUCCAGGUCAUCGAUUGCUCCUUUGAACGUAGUUCCUAUAGUUAAAAGAACCAUCAAAGGAAAAGUCAUAAGAUGGCUAAAUUCAUAAAAGAGAUAAAUAAAAAGGAUAGAGGUUGGAGUAUAGGUAUAUACCAAUUGUGACAUUUAUAAUAGCUGGUUUGUCCUUAUUUUGAAGUAACUUUGCUCUUAAAUCUGAAUAAUCCAUCUCCCCAUUCACUGAUGUGUUGAUUGUUUCUGAAUCCAUUCUAUACAUUCUUGCAGCUUUGAAGACUGAGUAGUGAGAGUCUUUUGAUGCAUAUAAUAUUCCUUCAGGAAGUAACUCUCUCCUGCAAAAUUAUACCAAAAAAUUUAAGAACACCAAAAACAUAAAUAGAUGUUAUUAUAUUAUAUGAACUUGUGUGUGAAUAUAUGAACUUACCCUAACAAAAUACCAUGGAGAUUGCCUUCGGUGCCACCAUUGGUAACAUAUCCCCAAUAUUGAUCCUUUUCAAUUUCCCAUAGUUUUGCAAACCAAUCCAAAACAGCCACUUCAAAGUCUUUUGAAUGGAAAUCGACAGUGUUUUGUAGGAAAGGAUCACCACAAUUGUUUAGGUGAAACUGCAAAAGUGGUGCUAAAGAUGCAUAGUGAUCAUAACAUAUGUUGACUGGAUAACCUAAAUGAUAAUUGACUCGUUGAGUAAGUGUGUCCAAAUAAUUGACCAAGAUAGUGUCCAAAGAAGGACCAUUAUUGUUCAAAGAAGGUUCCAUGACUUCAAGUUGUAAGUUUUUCCUUGGCCCUGCGCCUGAUUGUUCCACCUUCUGUUUUUUGUUGUCCACAUUUGGAAACAAUCUUCGUCGUGCUAAACUUUUGGGUGUCAUCGCUGCUAAACUUCUGGGUGUCAUAGGUGAUGGCUCAAAAUCCUGUCAAGAAUCAUGAUAAAUAUCCAAUUUAAGAUUAGAUAUAUUCAAGUAAAUAAAAACAUAUUGUAUGUAUAGAGGAGGUCGUACAAAAUCAAGAGACAUAAUUUCAAUAAUAAGUAGAGGAGAUGUUUGUGCAUGUUACAAACAUGAAGAGUACGUACCAUUUCAAGUGUGAGGCUACCCAUUCUUGUGAAAUACAAAUUUAUAGUAAGUUUUUUUUUUUGGUUGCUUAGGCCUUAGAAUAAUGGAGAAGCUAGCAACUGGUGAGUACAUUUUGUUCAUAUGUUUGUGAUACUUAUAUAUAGGCCUUACAAGUUGAAGGUUUUGUGCACCAACCACCCUUUUAAUUUCCUCUCAGUUUCUUCAAUUGUGUCCCACUUGCUUUUUCUAACUUCCAUUAAGUAUAUAUUUAUAUAUUUUUCAAAUUAAAUGAACUUUUUCCCUGUGCGGUUUUGACCAAGCUAUUCUUAGAAAGACUAGUCAACUUACUAGAAAAUAUUAUUAUGAAUGAUGGGUUGGUGAAAGUAAAUCCAAAUAAAAUUAAACAUGCAAAGACUAUAAUCACAAAUUAAACGCGUACUUAUAAGCAAUUCAUUCUUUAUUAAUAUAAUAACCAUUCAUGUCUAACUACAACCAUUAAAAUGUUAUUUCUCCAUUUGCCUUGCAUAAUAAUGCUAUGAAUAAUGUUCAUUUAUGGAUAUACAUAACUAUGACUUUAAAAGUGAAAAAUCGGUUGAAUAACAGGUUAUAAGUUAUUCUCUAAAUUUAAAAUGCAACUUUAAAUUUGAUUCAAAAAAUUUUAUACUCAAACACUAAUUUUUAAAUGAAAUAAAAUAAAAUAAAAAAUAGUCCAAAAAGAUAAAAUAUUUUUUUAUGGUCAAAUGAGUCCUACUUAAUAUUUGGAUUUCACUAGGAUGCUACUUGGUGGAUUCUUUGUAUACAAGCAAAGUGGAAUUUAGCUACUUCACUCCACCAAAUGUCAAUAAUUAGGAACCAAAGACACGAGUCAACCUUUGAAUUGGUCUAUUUUAACUAUCUUCACACCAAUUAUAAUUUAUAGAUCUAAUGGGGCAUUAAUAACAUGUUUGAAUAAUGAAUAUUUUUUUAUUCCGAUUGCAAUUGAGCUUUCAGAAAUUGAUAUUUUUUUAAAUAUAUAAAUGUUAGACUCGAAAUUAAUUGUAUUUAAAAAUUUAAUUUUUUUUUUAUAAUAACUUUAUAUUUAGUCUGGCCAUGUUAGACACUUGAUGAUAAAUGUCAAUCCAAUAGUCGAUUUCAAGAUUCCUACUUUAGAAAUAUCUAAAAUUUAUUAGUCUAGUUAUUUCAAAAUUAACGUUAGACCUAUAUGGCCAAAGUUAAAAACAAAAAUCAAAGAUUGAAAAUAAAUUUUAGAUAUAUGAAUCUAAACUUAUGCUUAUUAAAGUCAACCUUCAGACAAUUUGAAAGCUUUUUGGUCUGAUAGUAGCGGAUGUAUUAGCAAAAUACACGAAGAAAAACGAAAUAUCCACGUAUAAUCAAUAACUGACCCAUGUUUCUGAGGCAUCUCCUUCUCUUAUAUCAUAUAAGAUUAGUUUCACUUUUGUAUGAAUAAACAUUAUAAUAAAAAUGAUUAUUAGCGGUAUUUAAUUUUUAAUUGUCGCUAAAUAUGUUUUUUUAUCGGUAAUUAUCACUCUUUGAAUAUGUUCCUAAAGCCUUUAGCGACAUUAGUUCUAAUGAGUAAAGAAUUUAUCACUUAUUACUAAAUAAAACUUAACUUCAAAAGAAAAUGUGUAUGGAUUUUGUAUCUUUUUGAAGUGUGAUGUGGUACUCAAUUUGCCACUAGACAUGGUGGAACCUAAUCCUACCUAUUAUUGGUGAACGUUUGCUAAUUCAUACAACUGAAAUUUUCAAACUUCAAUUUUUCUUUAGAAAUUACAAGGUCCAAGUAUGCUAGAACCAAAACUUAAAAAUUGUAUAAUUGUUUGUCCUAUAUCUUGAAUUCUGUCACCAUAUUUCUAUUUGUUGUGCGAAAUUUGAGAUAAUACGAGAAAAUAUAUAAAUGCGAAAAACAAGACAACAGAUUUACGUGGUUCACCAAUAAAUUGGCUACGUCCACGGGAAGAGAGGGAGCAGUUUUAUUAUGGAGAGGCAAAAACAGAAUUACAAAAUAGGGUUUGCCAUAGCGUCUAUAUAUAUAUAUAGUGCUAAGCUACGCCCUAACAGGCUUGGGCCCAACAUACAGAAUUGACAGAAAAUUAAGGGCCCAAUACAACAACAUUGUAUAUCCUUUCUGUUUGUAACGGGUCCGAUUCAAGACAUUCAACACUAUUAUGAUCAGUAUUUACUUUUAUCCAACUCUAUGAGUUAAGAGUAAAAAUUUGGUAAGUUUGUUGUUAAUUAAUAACAUAUAGUAUUAAAUAAAUAGUAUUAAAUAAUAUUAGUAUUUACUGUGUACUAAUCCAAGUCCUAUUAGGAUUAGUACUCCUUAAUCCUAGUUCUAUUAGGAUUAGUACUCCUUCCUAUAUCUCCUAUAUAUAUCUCCCAUGUAUUCCCUUAUUAGGUUAACACUUCAAUACAAUCAAUAUUCCUUCAUGGUAUCAAGAGCCAGAAAACCUAGAUCUUCUUUUCUCUAGUUUUUCUUUUCUCUCUUUAGGGCACCGAUCGUUCCCUCUCUUCUCUUGGGCGGCGGCAGCCAUGACAACCGAGGUGGAUCCUCUCGAUUCAUUUCCUUCUGGCAUUAAACUCCUUCUCAGGCAUCUUCAUGCCCUGAUUCCCAAAAAAUUAUCAGACAUAAAUUACCCUACAUGGAAAAUCACCGUUCUUACAGCCCUUGAGGCCAAUUACCUUCUCAAAUACGUCGAUGGAAGCACAGAACCGCCGCCGGCAGUCAUCACCGCCACGGACAAAUUAGAAAAAACCAAUCCGGGCCAUGCCGCCUGGAAAGUCGUGGAUGGCCAGACCCGAUCAUGUUUAAUUGCGGUCAUCUCUCCCACGGUUCAGAAACACGUCCGAUCCUACACAACUGCUUCAGCCCUGUGGACGGCUCUCGCAACACGCUAUGCAUCAAUUUCCCACUCUCAUAUUUUUCAAUUGCGUGAUCGUCUCCACACAAUUACCAAAGGCACGAAAACUAUGACGGAGUAUUUAGACGAGGUCUCCACCAUCAUCACAGCCCUCGACACCGUGAAUGAAAUCAUUUCCGAAAAAGAUCUCGUCAUGUGCGUCGUUCGGGGGCUCCCAUCAGCUUACUCCUCCAUUAAACAGGCGGUUCGCAUCAGUCCAACGCCCGUGACCUGGCUACUCUCUCCUCGUGGCUAAAAAGUGAAGAAAUCAACGUGGAUCUGGAGAGCAAACUUCUUCUCCGAGAAGCCGCUGUAAUGGAGCCGGCCACCGCCCUCACCGCAAGCCAGAACUAUCGCGGGGGCGUGGUGGCAGCCGGCAGGGGGGCCGCGGCGGCUACGGCAGAAACAGCGGAGGUAGCGGGCGUGGCGGUCGGCAGGGCAGUCGUCCGCCGUACGACGGUCAGCAGCACGACAGCAACAACAGCCUGCACUCCUUCGACAGCGGCGGACAGUCAUCUUCCAGCGGCGGGCAGGGCACUUACGAGCGGGAUCGUCUAACUUAUCAAAUCUGUCAGAAAACAGAACACACCGCUGUUCGUUGCUGGUUUCGGUAUAAGGAGAGCCGAAAUAGUGAUAACCGUGUCAAUUAUGCAUCUCAAGCCGGCCCUUCCUCUGAAUGACUGUUGGAUACUGGGGCCAACAUGCACGUUACUUCUGAUCUAUCCAAGCUUAACGCUCCAAAUCCAUAUCAUGGCUCCAAUGGUAUUACUGUUGGCAACGGUGAGUCCCUUAAUAUUUCUCACACUGGCACGGGUACCAUUAAAACCCCCACCGCUAUCUUUCACCUAGGUAACCUUACCCACGUCCCUUUUAUUAAAAUCAAUCUCCUUUCAGUUCACCAAUUCACAAAAGACAAUAAUUGCUCACUCUUGUUCACCUCUAAUGAUUUUCAGAUCCUAGACAAUACUACCAAGAGGGUGAUUUUUUAGGGCCCCUGUGAGCAUGGUCUGUAUGUUCUUCCUGGCACAAGUUCGUCUGCCCACCCAGUUUCAAAAAGCGUUCCUGUGGCUCCGCUGGCUCUUUCGGCCGAUGGCCACAGUCUGUUGUGGCACAGUCGUCUAGGUCACCCGUCUACUCAAAUAAUAAAUUCUUUAAUGUCUCAAUUAGGUUUUUCUUCCAUUCAUGUAAACAAUUGUGACUCCUGUUCAAUUGCCAAAACCUCAUAAAUUACCUUUUACUUUAUCUGAGAAGCGUACAACUGCACCUUUUCAACUUAUUCAUUCUGACCUAUGGGGUCCUACUGCUGUUUCUUCAUUUACUGGUUUUCGCUAUUAUAUUUGUUUUGUGGAUGAUUUUACAAAAUACACUUGGUUGUACCCACUAAAACACAAAUCACAGGCAUACACCACCUUUGUCACUUUUGAAAAAAUGGUCAAAACACAAUUCAAUUCUCAUGUUAAACUUUUUCGAAGUGACAAUGGAAAGGAAUAUGUAAAUAACAUCUUUGGCCAGUUUCUGCAAUCCCUGAGAAUUAUACAUCAAACCUCCUGUCCAUACACUCCCGAACAAAAUGGGGUGGCUAAGCGUAAGCAUCGCCAUCUCAUUGAAACGGUGGUUACUCUAGCCACCGCAAACUACCUCAUUAACAAAAUGCCCAGUCACACCCUCUCCAACAAAUCACCCUAUCAACUCCUUUACCAAGAACUUCCCAAUUAUACCAACCUCCGCGUCUUUGGGUGUCUUGCCUACCCUUGGCUACGCCCUCAUAUUACUCACAAAUUACAACCCCGAUCCCGUCCUUGUAUUUUUUUGGGCUAUCAUCCUACCUCCAAGGGUUAUCGCUGUCUUGACCCACAAACUCAUAAAGUCUACAUAUCUCGUCAUGUCAAAUUUGUCGAAAAUGAGUUUCCUUACGAGUCUAUUUCCUCCUCCACAAAUACAUCAUUCAUUGGCGUCCUUCCUCUUUUUCCAACAUACUCACAGGGUCCCUCAUCACCUUCCCCCACACCUCUAUCCACUACCCAACCACCCUUCAUCACCCCUUCGACCGUCACCCACAAUACACCCGCAACCACCACCCACACUCACAACCAACCCGAACCACCCCAUACCCACAACAUCUCCAGCCCGAUCCGUUUUGGGUCCUUCCCGGCCACCCCUGAAUCACCACCGCCCGUGCCACCCGCCAAUACCCAUCCCAUGUUAACCCGUGGCAAAGCCGGUAUCUUUAAACCCAAAACCUUUCAGGCUACCAUACUACCAAAUACACCCCUUCCCGAUAGUGAACCAACAACCUACUGUGUUGCCUCACAAAAUGCUUAUUGGCGUCAUGCUAUGGAUGACGAGUUUAAGGCUUUGACUGAUCAGAAAACUUGGGUUCUUGUACCCACUGAAGAAUAACCGGCUGAUAUUCUCACCAAGCCUCUCCCGAGCCGACAGCACGAUUACCUCAGUUCCAAGCUUUCGUUCGCUUCCGCUCAGCUCAGCUUGAGGGGGAUAAUGACAGAUAGUAUUAAAUAAAUAGUAUUAAAUAAUAUUAGUAUUUACUGUGUACUAAUCCUAGUCCUAUUAAAAUUAGUACUCCUUAAUCCUAGUUCUAUUAGGAUUAGUACUCCUUAAUCCUAGACAUAUUAGGAUUAGUACUCCUUCCUAUAUAUCCUAUAUAUAUCUCCCAUUAUUCCCUUAUUAGGUUAACACUUCAAUACAAUUAAUAUUCCUUCAUUAAUAUACCUUGUUUUUAUGUGAAACUUUAUACUUCUGCAAUAACAUCUAGUUUCCACAAUUUCCAACAAAUAAUAAUAAUAAUUUUUUGAAUAAUUAAUGAAUUCAACUUGUUAAUUUUAACUAACAAGACUAAGAAUUAGAAUGUCAAGGAAUUUUAUUCAAAGAAUAUCAUAAAAGAGUGUCAAAACUUUAUAAUUUAAAAAAUGUUUCAUGUAUAUAAUUCAAUUUCAAUGGUUCUAACAAAUGAAAGAAUUAAUAAGAGUUACAAAAUGGCAUCUCAAUGGAAAACAUACUAACGGCAACAAAGGUCGUCUCUCAUUUCUUUGCCUUCUAAGGAGUAAUGAAGUCAAUCUUAUGGUAAGAGCAUGCACAAUUUUGAGCACCAAUAUCCUCUCCAACACAAGGAGGAUUAGUCUUUCCAUUUUGAUACCAUACUUUUCUUUGUUGCACUAAUUCACUCAUGAAGUUGUCAAGCAUUUCUCGUGUGAUGCCUGGCAUUACAAUAACAUGUGCCAUAUCCUUGACGCAUGAGAGUUGCCAACGACGCACAAAUUCAUGGUCACGAGGCCUUUCAAGUACAACUAUGAUGCUUAGCUCAUUCAGCAUGACACUUAUCCCUGCUUGUUGAAGACGAUCUUUCAAAUAUUUGGCAUUGUCGAGACAUCUUUUAACAUCCUUUUGAAGUCCAACUUGACCUUUUGCGCUCAAGCUGUACCAUAAGAAAAUUAGAGUUAAACCGUUACGGCUACCAGAAAUCGUGGCAUCCACAGAAGCAAUGUAUUCCACAUUUGUUGAGAGAUUAUUGAUGUAGCUUUUUCUUGUUAUUUGGACACCACAAGGCAUUGGGCAUCCUAAGAACUUGUGACCAGAAAUUGUGACACUUCCAAUUGGCUUCUUGAAACUAAUCAUCUGUUCAAAUUUUUAAAAAGAAUAAUUAGAUUGUCGCUUUGAGAAUUACUAAAGAUAUUGUAAUUAGAAGUAAGAAGCAAUUGAAACUCACAUUGUUUAUAAAAGGGGUCAUAAGACCACAUAGUGCAGCAUCACAGUGGAUGUAAAAUCGAUCUUGUGAAUAGCCACAUUCUUUGAGUGUUUCAAGAAUAACGUCAACAUCAUCAAUAGCUCCUUUGAACGUAGUUCCUAUAAUUAAAAGAACCAUCAAUGGAAAAGACAUAAGAUGACUGAUUUGGUCACAUAAAAGAAAAAUGAAAAAUGAUAAGAGGUUGGAGUAUAGGUAUAUACCAAUUGUGACAUUUAUAAUAGCUGGUUUAUCCUUAUUUUGAAGUAACUUUGCUCUUAAAUCUGAAUAAUCCAUCUCUCCAUUUACUGAUGUGUUGAUUGUUUCUGAAUCCAUUCUAUACAUUCUUGCAGCUUUGAAUACUGAGUAAUGAGAGUCUUUUGAUGCAUAUAAUAUUCCUUCAGGAAGUAACUCUCUCCUGCAAAAAAUAAUAUGAUGAAAAUGUAAGAGCACCGAAAUAAUAAAAUUCAUUAUAUGAUAUGCUUGUGUCAUAAGUAUAUAUGAACUUACCCUAACAAAAUACCAUGGAGAUUGCCUUCAGUGCCACCAUUGGUAACAUAUCCCCAAUAUUGAUCCUUUUCAAUUCCCCAAAGUUGUGCAAACCAAUCCAAAACAGCCACUUCAAAGUCUUUAGAAUGGAAAUCAACAGUGUUUUGAAGGAAAGUGUUGAAUGCCUUGAAUCGGACCCGCUACAAACAGAAAGGACGGGGGUCUCGCUGACGGUAUACAAUGUUGUUGUAUUGGGCCCUUAAUUUUCUGUUGAUUCUGUAUGUUGGGCCCAAGCCUGUUAGGGCGUAGCUUAGCACUAUAUAUAGACGCUAUGGGAAACCCUAUUCUGUAAUUCUGUUUUUGCCUCUCCAUAAUAAAACUGCUCCCUCUCUUCCCGUGGACGUAGCCAAUUUAUUGGUGAACCACGUAAAUCUGUUGUCUUGUUUUUCGCGUUUAUAUUUUCUCGUAUUAUCUCAAAUUCCGCACAACAAAUUGGUAUCAGAGCCUCUCGGUUAAUCGGUGUUCUUGGCGAAUUCGAGAUGUCUGCUUUGAACGUGAAAAUCGACAAAUUCACAGGGAGGAACAGUUUCAGUUUAUGGCAGAUCAAGAUGCGGGCCUUGUUGAAAAACAGCAAGGCUUCUGGGCGCCGUUGUCGAAAGACAAGAACGCCGUCGUUACUCCUGAGAUGGCGAUUCUGGAGGAAAAGGCGCACUCGACGAUCAUGCUGUGUCUCGCGGAUGACGUCAUCACGGAGGUCUCGGAUGAAGAGACUACUGCUGGUCUGUGGUUGAAGCUGGAGAGUUUGUACAUGACAAAAUCUCUAACCAACAAGCUGCUUCUGAAACAACGUCUAUUCGGUUUACGAAUGGCUGAAGGUACACAACUCAGGGAACACUUAGAGCAAUUGAAUACUUUGUUAUUAGAAUUGCGUAAUAUCGAUGUGAAGAUCGAGGAUGAAGAUGCUGCCCUGAUUCUGUUAGUAUCUCUCCCAAUGUCGUUUGAGAAUUUUGUUCAAUCGUUCAUUGUUGGGAAAGAUACUGUGUCACUGGAAGAAGUCAGAUCGGCCCUUCAUAGCAGGGAAUUACGGCAUAAGGCUAACGGCACAAGUACGGACAUACAGCCUUCCGGUCUGUUCACCAGUAGCGGAAAGGGAAGGAAAAACGGCGGAAAGAAAAAUAAGCCGAUGUCGAAGGGUGCAAAGCCGGAUGAUGUUUGUAAUUACUGCAAGGAGAAGGGACAUUGGAAAUUUGAUUGUCCGAAGAAGAAGAAGCAAUCGGAAAAACAAUCAGUGUCUGCUGCUGUUGCUGAAGAAGACACCAAUUCUGAAGAAGAUAUUGCCCUAAUUGCGGAUGAGCACACUCAUUAUUCAGAUGUGUGGGUUCUUGAUUCUGGGGCAUCCUAUCACAUCUGUCCUAGGAGAGAGUGGUUCACGACUUAUGAGCAGGUAGACGGAGGCAGCAUCUCGAUGGCCAACAGUUCUGUCUGCAAGGUGGUUGGGACAGGCUCGAUCAAGUUAAGGACACAUGACGGUAGCUUCUGCACAUUGAACGAGGUCAGGCACGUUCCAUUGAUGACGAAAAAUCUGAUAUCUCUCAGUCUUUUGGACAGCAAGGGAUUCAGCUGGUCGGGAAAAGAUGGAGUCUUGCGGGUCUGGAAGGGUUCAAAUUUGAUUCUGAAAGGUGUCAUGCGUGGUACUUUGUAUUUUCUACAAGGUUCCACGGUUACAGGUUCAGCCCAUGUUGCAUCGUCAGAAUUUCACCAGAAGGAUAUGACUAAGUUAUGGCACAUGAGACUUGGUCAUAUGGGUGAAAGAGGGAUGCAAAUUCUGUCAAAGGAGGAUUUACUUGCUGGUCAUAAGGUUAAGAGCCUAGAGUUUUGUGAACAUUGUGUUUUUGGAAAACUACAUCGCAACAAGUUUCCAAAGGCCAUUCAUAGAACAAAAGGCACACUUGAUUAUAUCCAUUCUGAUUGCUGGGGUCCAUGCCGUGUUGAGUCUUUGGGAGGCUGCAGAUUUUUUGUGUCCAUUAUUGAUGACUACUCAAGGAUGACUUGGGUGUACAUGAUGAAGCAUAAAAGUGAAGCCUUCCAGAAGUUCAAGGAGUGGAAAAUUUUGAUGGAAAAUCAAACAGGGAAGAAGAUCAAGAGGUUGCGAACUGAUAAUGGGCUGGAAUUCUGUUGGUCUGAAUUUGAUCAAUUCUGUAAGGAUGAAGGGAUUGCUCGACAUCGUACAGUCAGAAAUACACCACAGCAGAACGGUGUAGCUGAGCGGAUGAAUCAAACACUUCUGGAGAGAGCAAGGUGCAUGCUCUCUAAUGCUGGGCUAGAUAGAAGAUUCUGGGCAGAAGCGGUUAGUACAGCUUGCUACUUGAUUAACCGCGGACCACAUACAGGCAUACAGUGCAAGACACCUAUGGAGAUGUGGUCAGGAAAAGUUGCUGAUUAUUCAAAUCUGAAAGCUUUUGGUUGUACGGCUUACUAUCACGUCAGUGAAGGUAAGUUAGAACCAAGAGCUAAAAAGGGAGUAUUUGUGGGCUACGGAGAUGGAGUGAAAGGUUUCAGAAUCUGGUCUCCAGCAGAAAAGAGGGUUAUUAUGAGCAGGAACGUUGUCUUUGAUGAAAGUUCUCUGCUUAGAACCAUUGUGAAGCCUACAACUACGUCAGAAACUGGGAGUCUUGACAAACAGGUGGAGUUUCAAGUCAUUCAGAACGAGAGAGAUUUAAAGGAACCUGAAGAGGAGGAUCAAGAGCCAGAGACAGAAACUGAUAUUCCAGAAUCUAUGCCAUCAGAUAUCCAUCAGAGUAUAGCUCAAGAUCGGCCAAGGAGGGUUGGAGUUCGGCCACCUACGAGGUAUGGUUUUGAGGACAUGGUGGGUUAUGCACUGCAGGUUGCUGAAGAGGUAGAUACAUCUGAGUCGUCUACUUACAAAGAAGCCAUUUUAAGUUCUGAUUCUGAAAAAUGGUUUGCCGCUAUGGGAGAUGAGAUGGAGUCCCUACACAAGAAUCAGACAUGGGAUCUGGUCAUACAGCCUUCGGGGAGAAAGAUUAUUACUUGCAAAUGGGUUUUCAAGAAGAAGGAAGGGAUAUCACCAGCAGAAGGAGUCAAGUAUAAAGCCAGGGUUGUUGCCAGAGGUUUCAACCAAAGAGAGGGAGUGGACUACAAUGAGAUCUUCUCACCAGUGGUCAGACAUACUUCCAUCCGAGUGUUACUAGCGAUAGUUGCACAUCAGAAUCUGGAGCUUGAACAACUUGAUGUGAAGACAGCGUUUCUACAUGGAGAGUUGGAGGAAGAGAUAUACAUGACUCAGCCGGAUGGUUUCCAAGUUCCAGGGAAGGAAAAUCACGUCUGCAAGUUGAAGAAGUCCUUAUAUGGACUUAAGCAGUCUCCAAGGCAGUGGUAUAAAAGGUUUGACAGCUAUAUGGUGAAGUUGGGCUAUACUCGGAGCUCAUAUGAUUGUUGUGUCUACUACAAUAGGCUCAAUGAUGAUUCAUUCAUCUAUCUGGUGUUUUAUGUAGAUGAUAUGUUGAUAGCUGCAAAGAAGAAGUAUGACAUUCAGAAGCUGAAGGGUUUACUUAGUGCUGAGUUUGAGAUGAAGGAUCUGGGAGCCGCUCGGAAGAUUUUAGGGAUGGAGAUCAUUAGAGACAGAGAGAGAAGGAAACUUUUCUUGUCACAGAGAAGCUAUAUUCAGAAGGUCUUGGCGAGGUUUGGCAUGUCUUCAUCUAAGCCCAUUGAUACCCCCAGUGCUGCCAAUAUCCAUCUCACUGCCAUGUUCGCUCCACAGUCAGAAGAAGAGAAGGAGUAUAUGUCACGAGUCCCCUAUGCCAGUGCCGUAGGAAGUUUAAUGUAUGCUAUGGUCUGUACAAGGCCAGAUUUAGCACAUGCAGUCAGUGUAGUGAGCAGAUUCAUGGGACAACCAGGGAGAGAACAUUGGCAGGCUGUGAAGAGAAUUUUCCGGUACCUUAGAGGUACAUCUGACGUUGGUCUCAUUUAUGGAGGUGAUACUCAGUGCUUGGUUACUGGCUAUUCUGAUUCAGACUAUGCUGGAGAUGUUGACACAAGAAGAUCGAUGACUGGCUAUGUGUUUACCCUUGGAGGAUCUGUCGUCAGUUGGAAGGCAACUUUGCAACCUACAGUGACUUUGUCUUCUACGGAAGCGGAGUACAUGGCCUUGACAGAGGCUGCAAAAGAAGGGAUUUGGUUGAAAGGGCUGGUUAGUGAUCUUGGUCUGCAUCAUGAUCAGGCUACGGUGUAUUGUGACAGUUUGAGCGCAAUUUGUCUAGCCAAGGAUCAAGUCCAUCAUGAGAGAACCAAGCAUAUUGACGUAAGGUAUCAUUUUCUGAGAAGUGAGAAGAGAAUCAAGGUGAAGAAAGUAGGAACUGCUGAUAAUCCUGCUGAUAUGUUUACAAAGCCGGUUCCACAGAGCAAGUUUCAACACUGUUUGGACUUGCUCAACAUCAGAAGCUGUUAAUUGCCCUGCGGGGCAACUCUGAGGAAGAGGGGGAGUCCUGGCACUAUCAUAGUGCGUCUGAAGAAUCUGUUCGGAGAAUUCAAGUCAAGGUGGAGAUUUGUUGAAUGCCUUGAAUCGGACCCGCUACAAACAGAAAGGAUGGGAUCUCCCCAAUAUAUUGAGUCAAUACAUUUAACUUUUAAGAAAAUAUUCUUUCUCCCAUGUUUUUAUCAGUGGCACAUUCAUGAUUUUGUGACAAUAGUUACUUAAUGUUUUUUGUGUUAAGAUAAAGUUAUGUUGUAUUGGGCCCUUAAUUUUCUGUUGAUUCUGUAUGUUGGGCCCAAGCCUGUUAGGGCGUAGCUUAGCACUAUAUAUAGACGCUAUGGGAAACCCUAUUCUGUAAUUCUGUUUUUGCCUCUCCAUAAUAAAACUGCUCCCUCUCUUCCCGUGGACGUAGCCAAUUUAUUGGUGAACCACGUAAAUCUGUUGUCUUGUUUUUCGCGUUUAUAUUUUCUCGUAUUAUCUCAAAUUCAGCACAACAGAAAGGAUCACCACAAUUGUUUAAGUGAAACUGUAAAAGUGGUGCUAAAGAUGCAUAGUGAUCAUAACAUAUAUUGACUGGAUAACCUAAAUGAUAAUUGACUCGUUGAGUAAGUGUGUCCAAAUAAUUGACCAAUAUAGUGUCCAAGGAAGGACCAUCAUUGUCCAAAGCAGGUUCCAUGACUUCAAGUUGUAAGUUCUUCCUUGGUCCUGCACCUGAUUGUUCCACCUUCUGUUUUUUGUUGUCCACAUUUGGAAACAAUCUUCGCCGCGCUAAACUUCUAGGUGUCAUCGCUGCUAAACUUCUGGGUGUCAUGGGUGAUGGCUCAAAAUCCUGUCAAAUAUCAUAGUUCAAUUAAUGAUAUAAUUAAGUAAAUAAAAUAUAUUUUGUGAUAUAAUGAGGAUGUCUGAGACAUAAUAUACGACAAAAUUGUGCAUGUAACUAGCUAAGAUGAAGAGUGCAUACCAUUUCAAGUGAAAGGCUACCCAUUCUCGUGAAACGCAAAUUUAUAUUUUAAUAGUAUGUUUUCUGUUUGCUUAGAAUAAAGGAGAGGUAUUUAUAACUGUUGAGUGCAUUUUGUUGAUAUGUCUUGCAUACUUAUAUAUAGGUCUUAUUAUGCAUGCACCAACUACUCCUUUAAUUUCCUCUUACUUUCUUCCAUUUUGUUUCUCACUUGCAAUUUUCAAAUGAUUAAAUUUCCCAUGUGUGGUCUUGACCAGGCAAUUCUUAGAAAGUGACUACUCAACUAACGAGCCAAUAGUAUUAUGAAUGAAGGGUUGGUGAGAUUAAUAACAACACAAAUCCAAAUAAAUUAAACAUGCAAAGAUCGCUAUAGUCACAAAUCUAAACGCGUGCGUAUAAACAAUUCAUUCUUUAUUAAGAAUUAUAAUAGUGCUAACAGCAGUCAUUCAUGUCUAACUAAAACCCAUAAAAUUUACACACAAGUAUAAAUGGUUUCGCUAAUUAGAAGGCUGGAUGAAAGAGCUAAUGCAUAAUACUAUGAAUAAUGUUUAUUUUUGAACAUAUGUAAAUACAACUUCAAAAGUAAAAAAUUAGUUGAAAAACAGGUUAUAAGUUAUUUUCUGAAUUUGGAAUGCAACUUAAAGUUUGAUUUAAAAUUUUUAUAACUAAACACCGAUUUUUAAAUAAAAUAUAAAAAUUAUUCCAAAAAAUAUGAAUAAUUUUUUUUUUUGGUCAAACGAUUCCUAAUAUUUUUGGUUUUCACUAGGAUGCUACUGGUUAAUUAUUUGUCCGAAUCCAAACAAAGUGGAAUGUAGCUACUACUUCACUCCAUCAUAUGUCAAUAAUUAGGAACCAAAGAAUUACUUAACUAAAAAUAGAGAAUUGGUCAGUGGACAAAAAUAGCAGUUUUCAGAGACACAAUAGUCAACUUUUUAAUUGGUCUGUUCUCACCAAUUAAAAUUUAAAGAUGUUACUCAUAUUUAAAUGUCUCACCAAUAACAUCUGUUGAAUAAAGAAUAUUUUUUCUGUUGAAAAAAAAACAUAAUUUACGCAAAAUGGGGAUUUGAAUUUUUGAUUUGGAUUGCAAUUAAGCUUUCAGAUUUAAUUUUUUAAAAGAAUGAAUUUUAGAUUUGGGAUGAAUCGUAUGUAGAAGUCCAAUUUUUUUUAUAAUGACUUUAUAUUUAGCCUGACUAAUUAGACACUCGAUCAUAUGAAAAAUGUCAAAUUCAAUAGCCGAUUUCAAAAUCUCUAUUUAAGACGCACUCAAAAUUUGUUAAAGUAUUGUUGUUUUGAAGUAUGGCAAAGUUAAGGAGUUGUAGUAGUAACAUGGCAAAAGAAGGAAGAUGUGUGUCUUAUUUGCUGAGUUCGAAAUGUAUAAUUGUCAUUCUCAAAAAGGGGGAAUUUGUUAGAAUGAUAAAGAUUUUGAUAAUUGACAAAUACAGAAAAAGAUGAAAGAAACUGGUUGUACAGAGGUGUUCCUUACAGAACGAAUUCGACUUGGAUAAGGAGAACGUCAACCACGUGAAUUAGAAGUUAUAAAGCUGUGGAAUUAUUAUUUUUUCAACAAGCAACAAGUACAAAAAGUUUCCUUUUAUAAAGGAGUUCAAAGCCAAGUGAAAGAAGGAAAACUAAUUCCUAUUUAAGGAAAUCUAUUUAAGGAAAUUGUGUUUUCUUAUUUAUUAAGGAAAUUCUGUAGAAAAGGAGUCCAAGUAGAAGUCAACAAGGAUUUGUAGAAGGCAAAUACAAGUUGAAUUAUACAAGGAUUUGUUAAAGUUUUGAUCUAUAAAUAGGGAGCUAUUUGCAUAAAAAAAAGUGUGCACUUACAUAGAGAGAAGAUCAAAACACGAUCAAGAAGUUUUAAAGAGUUUUGAGAUUUAUUGAGAGUGUAACAAUUUGUGAGAAAAAAUUGUAAAAUUGUAUUCAAGAGUCUUGUUUACAAUCUGAGUUUUGUGAGUAGGAGUUGUUCGACAAGUUGUAGAACUUGAAGAACAUUGGAAGAUAUAAAACUGGGGUUUUUGUAUCUUUGGGUAGCUAGAAAUUAGAGUUUAUAAUUUCUUAGCUAGGAAUUAGAGUUUAUAAUUCCUUAGGUUACAUAGCUUUGUAAUCUUUUGUUGAUACGUGAAAUUUAAUAAAGUGGAGUUAAAUCCUACAGAGGUGUAGGUCCUGGUUUUUACCCUUGUGAGUUGGGGUUUUCCCGCGAUAAAAUAUUGUGUCAUUAUUUUAUUUACUUCACAAAACGUAUCUGCUGUAAUUUCUCAAAGGAACAUAUAGAAUAAACCUGUUCCUAAGGCGAAUUUGGGGGUCAGAAAUCCAACAAUUGGUAUCAGAGCAGGUUAUCUUUGAAGAGUCUAACAACUUAAGAUAAGAUCAUAAUGAAUUCUGCACCUCCUCUUGGGUAUGGUCAAGGGCAACACAUCAACAGACCACCAUUAUUUAAUGGAGAAUACUACUCUUGGUGGAAGACAAGAAUGGAAGAUUUCAUUCAAGCUGAAAAUUACGAACUAUGGGUUAGAAUUACUAAUGGACCAUUAAUUCCUACUAUUACUGAUAGUGAAGGGAAUAAGGUGCCUAAACCUAUAGAAAAGUAUGAAGAAGCCGAUUACAAGAUGUUAGGAAAGAAUGCAAAAGCUAAAUGCAUUCUGGUAUGUGGAUUAGGACCUGAUGAGUUUAACCGCAUCUCUAGUUGUACCUCUGCAAAACAAAUAUGGGACACUUUAAAAAACGCUCACGAAGGUACAACUCAAGUUCGUAAAUUCAGAAUUGCCAAACUUUGUUUUGAAUAUGAAACUUUCAAGAUGAAACCCGGAGAAUCACUUCAAGAUAUGAUCACCAGAUUUACCAUUGUUGUAAAUGAGUUAAUAUCCUUGGGCAAAGUAUACACCACUGAAGAACAGGUAGACAAAGUACUAAGGACUCUGCCUAGAUCAUGGGAAAUAAAAGUUACUGCAAUCAGAGAAGCCAAAGAUCUAACCAAUAUGACUUUGGAUGAAUUAGUAGGAAAUCUCAAAACUUAUGAGAUGAAUGUUGACAAAAGAGGUGAAAGAAAAAAAGAGAAAAAUCUUGGGUUUAAAGCAACUGAAAGUGAUGAAUCUGACAUAGAUGAUGAUGAUCUUGCUCUUAUAUGUAAGAACUUCAAGAAAAUCUUAAAAAGGGAUUAAACGCUAGCAAGAAAUCACCACCCCAAAAAGAAAGAAAUUUUGAGAGACUACAGAGCGGAGGCUGCUUCAAGUGUGGUGAGACAGAUCAUCAGAUCAAGGAUUGCCCAAUGUGGGAAUUAGAAUGGAAAAAGGAAAAAACUGAAAAAGAAAGGAAGGAACUCUUUAAUAAAAAGAAAAACAAAGAAAAAUAACAAGCAAUAUAUGCAGCUUGGGGAACAGGUUCUUCAGACAUGUAUGAAGAAGAAGAUGAGGACAUUGCUUUGAUGGCGAUAGAAGAAUCAGAUGCUGAACCUGAAUCAGACUCUGAAGAAACUGAGGUAAAUCUUCUUAACUUAAAAGAUAAACUAGUAAAGUUCUCUAAGAAAAAACUUUCAUUCUUAUUACUUGCUUCCAUAGACACAAUUCAAGAACUUGUUAACACCAAGAGCCAACUACUUGCUUCCUUAUCUAGCUUAAAGUUUGAGCACAUUGAUCUUAAUAAGAACAAACAUGACCUUCAAGGGAAAAUCAAGCAACUUGAAUCUCACAAUCUGGAACUAAGAACUGAGAAUCUACAAUUAAAAGUUCUUGGUAAAGAAAAAGGGAGUGAACUGCCUGACCAAACACUUGAGGUCGACAAACUAAAAAAUAUUUUAAAACUAGAAAAGGAAAAAUCUAGAAGAAUAAAUUUUGAAUUAACUAGGAUGAGAAGUGAUCUGGAAAGAGCAAAUAAGUGGACAAAAUCCUCCAUGAUAGUAACCCAUCUAGGUAACAAUAAUAGGAACAUUAAAACUGGAAUAGGGUAUGAACAAUCCAUAAAUGAGAAUCCUAUGUUUUGUAUUAUUUGUGGUAUCUCAGGUCAUUCUAAACAAUAUUGUCCUAAAUACAAAGCUAUUGCAGAAAAUAAUGCAAGAGGAACUUAUAAAACUGUUCAAAGGAACAAGUAUACUCAAAGGAAAAAUAAUCUGCCCAAGUGGGCUUAUAGAGAUCUUAUUCAUCCUUUUUGUCAAUACAAAGGACCCAAGCUAGUCUGGGUUCCUAAAUCUAACAUUUGAAUUUGCAGGAAAAGUGAGAGGAAGCAGACAACAUUCACCAAUUGAACAUGUUGUUUCAGAUGCAUGAUUGUAACUUAAAAAAAGAAAAAAAAAGGGAAGAAGAAUGGAUGAAUAACAUUAACGGAAAAAAUUUGAAAAAAAUUGGUUGAAAAAAUGGAGAAAGACUGAAGAAACAUGUUGAAGGAAACAGGUUCAACCUAUGCAGUAUCUAACAAUUAUGCGUAUUAAGAUGAUCAAUCAAUCAAAAAUAUGAUCAGCCAAGGAAAACACUUUCAAAAGGAACAAUUUGAAACCUGGGGAUGAUUAAGGUUGCAUAAGUAUCCAAAAAUGGCUAAUGAACAUUGUGCAUAUUGCCCUCUAAUAUUGAAUUCUAUGCUCAGGUUUGCACAUUAAGUUGUAUGUCUCUAUACCACUUUUAAAGUCAUGCUACUCAUGCCCUAUAACAUUGUAUUUGCAUCUAGCACAGGAGAGAGAUUUGGUAAAAUUGAAGCAAAAUUCAGCACUAUCCAGAGAUCUAAGGUAUGUGCACUACAUUUAUUCAUGAUUAAAUAUAAAGUAAAUGCACUUGAACCUAUUUCUUUCACUUAUCCCAAAAGAUAUUCAUGCCCUAAAUACUACCAAAACAAAUAUCUUCUUAAAAAGCCUUAUCCCAAUGUGAUGGUCUGUGGUUGAGAUGAAUUUGAUGGAGGACACCCCUACUUGGGGCCUUAUAAAUACAGAUUAAGAAAAUAGAGUGUGCUGGUUCUUAGGGGGAAUAUUUUGUAUUGAGUAAAGUCUUGGAGGAUUUACAUUGUGAGGGGGAAUAUUUUGGAGACCCUAUACCUAAACAAAGUUCACUUGUUAGGAUCAACUUGGGUGCAUCUAGUAAAAGGGAAUUGAUGAGAGAUACAUCUGUCGAACCUAGUUCUUCUAUUGGGAACCAUAUAAACUGGGAUUUUGAAUUGAUAUAAAUAAAAUUUAUAGCUGGUGCUGCAGUUGAUAGUACACGUCGAAGGAACAUAUUGAGAGAACAUGUUCCUUUACAAGUGAUAUUCAAGAAAACUUGUUCCUCUUACUGACUCUAUUGAAAUUAAAGAUGAGUGAACUAUUGUUUCUGCAGAAAGAACAUGAUUGAUUGAACAAGUUCCUCAAAAGUGAAAAAAAAGGAUUGAGCGUGCAUAGACCAAGGUUAACUUUGAAAUUGAGAAGGCUGCUAAUUUUGUUAAUCCAAAGAUAUUUUUGCUGCUGAAAAAUGACUUUUAUUUAUCCUCUCAUCUUUUGAUAUUACCUAACCACUCUAGCCUUUGACUUCCAAAUUUUUUUUUCAUCACAAGUGCUUGAUUCUAUGUUUAAUUUUGAUUACAUUUGUGGUGUAUAUGCUUUUUGAUUAAUGCUAAUAUUGGGUUUGAGUUUCAGGUUACUGUCUAUCUCCUAUGUUUAUGCUAAUGCUUUGUUUUAGCUCAUUGGGUUCUUGAUUUUUAAGUGUUUGUGUAAGUGAUAGCCCAGUGGUCAUGAGUAUCGAAUUUGCCUAAUGUCAAAAGGGGGAAGCAGCUGCAUAUGAGUUAUGUGUACCUAUUCAAUGCAAGCAGAUAAAAUUUGCCAUAGUCAAAAAGGGGGAAUUUGUUAAAGUAUUGUUGUUUUGAAGUAUGGCAAAGUUAAGGAGUUGUAGUAGUAACAUGGCAAAAGAAGGAAGAUGUGUGUCUUAUUUGCUGAGUUCAAAAUGUAUAAUUGUCAUUCUCAAAAAGGGGGAAUUUGUUAGAAUGAUAAAGAUUUUGAUAAUUGACAAAUACAGAAAAAGAUGAAAGAAACUGGUUGUACAGAGGUGUUCCUUACAGAACGAAUUCGACUUGGAUAAGGAGAACGUCAACCACGUGAAUUAGAAGUUAUAAAGCUGUGGAAUUAUUAUUUUUUCGACAAGCAACAAGUACAAAAAGUUUCCUUUUAUAAAGGAGUUCAAAGCCAAGUGAAAGAAGGAAAACUAAUUCCUAUUUAAGGAAAUCUAUUUAAGGAAAUUGUGUUUUCUUAUUUAUUAAGGAAAUUCUGUAGAAAAGGAGUCCAAGUAGAAGUCAACAAGGAUUUGUAGAAGGCAAAUACAAGUUGAAUUAUACAAGGAUUUGUUGAAGUUUUGAUCUAUAAAUAGGGAGCUAUUUGCAUAAAAAAAAGUGUGCACUUACAUAGAGAGAAGAUCAAAACACGAUCAAGAAGUUUGAAAGAGUUUUGAGAUUUAUUGAGAGUGUAACAAUUUGUGAGAAAAAAUUGUAAAAUUGUAUUCAAGAGUCUUGUUUACAAUCUGAGUUUUGUGAGUAGGAGUUGUUCGACAAGUUGUAGAACUUGAAGAACAUUGGAAGAUAUAAAACUGGGGUUUUUUAUCUUUGGGUAGCUAGAAAUUAGAGUUUAUAAUUUCUUAGCUAGGAAUUAGAGUUUAUAAUUCCUCUAGGAAUUAGAGUUUAUAAUUCCUUAGGUCACAUAGCUUUGUAAUCUUUUGUUGAGACGUGAAAUUUAAUAAAGUGGAGUUAAAUCCUACAGAGGUGUAGGUCGUGGUUUUUACCCUUGUGAGUUGGGGUUUUCCCGCUAUAAAAUAUUGUGUCAUUAUUUUAUUUACUUCACAAAACGUAUCUGCUGUAAUUUCUCAAAGGAACAUAUAGAAUAAACCUGUUCCUAAGGCGAAUUUGGGGGUCAGAAAUCCAACAAAAUUUAACACACCCUCUGUUUUAAAAAUGAUGACCUAGUUUGACUUGGAAUGGAGUUUAUGUAAAGAAAGAAGACUCUUUAAUCUUGUGGUUCUAAAUUAAAGUUAUGUCAAAUGUAUCAAAAUGCCCUUUAAUCUUGUGGUUUUAAACAUGUCACGUGGAAAACUAAGGUUAAAGGGUUUCCAAAAAAGGAAAAAAGCCAUUCUUUUUUAAACAAACGACAUUCUUUUUUAAACGGAGGGAGUAAUUUUUUGUUAGAGUGGGUUAAAUUGGCUCAAAAGCUGAUCAAACCUAAUUUUAAGUUCUCAAACCUAAUUUUAAGUCGAUUUUUUAGUUCUCAAACUGUUUGAAAUGUAUAAAAAAUAAGUUAAAAUAAGUCCGAAAGUGUUUGACAAUAUAAAAAAUGACUUAAAAUAAAUUAAAAAUCAAAAGUAGAUUUCCCCUAGUUUAUAUUUUUUGACCUAAAAGUCAUUUUCGAUAUCCUCCGUCAUAUAUAUUUUUACGAAAAAGGACAAAUAUGCCCCCGAACUAUCGUAAAUGGUAUGCAGAUACCCUCCGUCAUACUUUUAGGGCAUUGAUGUCCCUGCCGUCCAAAAACUAAAACAUAUAUGUCCUUCACUCUAACGGAAGACUAAAUAGAGACACCGCGUGGCGUUAUCUUAUCUGUCGAUAAAUGUUGGAUCGGUGGAUAAGAUUAUGACACGUGUAUGUCUGUCACAUGUAUGUCCAUUAUAUAAAGGGUAUAUAUGCUCUAGUUUUUUAUGUUAGGGACACCAAUGUUCUAAAAGUAUCACGGAGGGUAUUUACAUACCAUUUACGAUUGUUCAGGGGUAUAUUUGUCCUUUAUCCCUUUUAUUAAUAACAUACAUAAAAAUUCUCUAUAAGAAUGACUACAAGCAAGGGAAGCUAGGUCUUAAUUUACCAAUCCUAAUGUGGUACCUAACAUCUACUAAAUAACAACCAUGAAGAAGAUAUGAGCCACAGAGAACGUAACUAGAUAUUCUAUGAUCAUCACAAAAUUUAUUAAACACUCUAUGAUGAUAUUACAAGUGAGGAUUCUUAAGUAAUGAAAAAUCAUAAAAGCUAAGGAUAAAGUUGAGUUAUCAACAUCAAACUUCCUUUUACAAAUGUAUAAAAUAAAAAAGAUAGUUUGACCCUCUAAAGGAACUUGUAGUAUGUUUCUUUGGUCUUCUUCUUCAAAUUUGUUCAUUAAUAUAUACGUGAUAGUUCAUCACUUCUUGAUUUUAUUGGAUCUUGUUGAAGUUAUUGACUCUAUCAUAUGAUUCUAUUUCUUAGUCGCAUAGGUAGGUGUCUUGGAACAAACUUUGUCACUUUACCAUCCCAACUAUGCUUCCUUUCAUGCUUUGUUUUGUUGUAGCUUUGUUGCCUAGGAGAGAUAUCAGCAUUCCUAGCUGUAUUUGCAAAACAAUAAUCCAACAUUUGCUCUUCCUCUUCCUUACCUUCCUCAGAAAUGUCCUCAGCAAAUUUAUUUGGGAACAAAGUACUACUAUAUACCACCAACUUGAAGUUGUUUGUUAGAGUUAAUAGGUGUAAGAGAAACCAUUUUUUCAAUAUUAGAACUCACCAAAUGAUCAUUUAAGAUUGCGAUAACAUUUGUUGAUGAUGACAAACCUUGUCGGGGAGUUACUAACUUGGCGCUACUAGUCACAAAAGCAUGAGCUGUUGGACUCAAUUUCUUUUGCAUAGGAGGGGAAGUGACUUGUUCUUGCUUUUCAUCUGCUAUAUCUUUCCACCUCGGAGUACUUGUUGCGCCCGGUUGUUCCUUAAAAAUAACUAAUUUUUAACUUGAGAUGAAUUGAUCUCAUGCACAAUACUAUUCGUAAGAGCAUCAAAAGUGUUAAAACACAAGACCUCGUUCAAUGAGAUUGAUGUACCAGUUCCACUCCUUUACCUGUACUCUCUAUCAGCUCCAAUUCUUUUAUCUCCAAAUCUACACCCAUUAACAUUUAUUUUUAUCCAACAUUAUGAGCUAGAGUUAAAAUUUUAUAAUUUUGCUGUCAAUAUACAAUACUUUUAUAUGAAACACUAUAUUUUUGCAUUUACCCAUUUGAUAUGACUAGAGAUACUACAUUUCAUUCUAGUGAUAGAGAUUUUAUUAGUCCCUCCAUAUUUUAAUUGCAAGCGCAUCUAGUUUUCCACAAUAUCCAACAAGUAGUAGUAAUAAUAAUAAUAAUAAUAAUAAUAAUAAUAAUAAUAAUAAUAAUCUUUUUAAUAAUUAAAGAAUGCAACUUGUGAAAACUUUAUAAUUUAAAAAAUGUUUCAUGUAUAUUAUUCAAUUUCAAUGGUUCUAACAAAUGAAAGAAAUAAUAAGGGUUACAAAAAUGCCAUCUCAAUGGAAAACAUACUAACGGCAACAAAUGUCAUCUCUCAUUUCUUUGCCUUCUCAGGAGUAAUGUAGUCAAUCUUAUGGUAAGAGCAUGCACAAUUUUGAGCACCAAUAUCCUCUCCAACACAAGGAGGAUAGGUCUUUCCAUUUUGAUACCAUACUUUUCUUUGUUGCACUAAUUCACUCAUGAAGUUGUCAAGCAUUUCUCGUGUGAUGCCUGGCAUAACAAUAACAUGUGCCAUAUCCUUGACACAUGAGAGUUGCCAACGACGAACAAAUUCAUGAUCACGAGGCCUUUCAAGUACAACUAUGAUGCUAAGCUCAUUCAACAUAACACUUAUCCCUUCUUUUUGAAGACGAUCUUUCAAAUAUUUAGCAUUGUCGAGACAUCUUUUGACAUCCUUUUGCAAGCCAAGUUGACCUUUUGCGCUCAAGCUAUACCAUAAGAAAAUUGGAGUCAAACCGUUACGGCUACCAGAAAUAGUGGCAUCGACAGAAGCAAUGUACUCCACAUUUGUUGAGAGAUUAUUGAUGUAGCUUUUUCUUGUUAUUUGGACACCACAAGGCAUUGGGCAUCCUAAGAACUUAUGACCAGAAAUUGUGACACUUCCAAUUGGCUUCUUGAAACUAAUCAUCUGUUCAAAUUUAAAAAGAAUAAUUAGAUUGUCGCUUUGAGAUUUACUAAAGAUAUUGUAAUUAGAAGUAAGAAGCAAUUGAAACUCACAUUGUUUAUAAAAGGGGUCAUAAGACCACAUAGUGCAGCAUCACAGUGAAUGUAAAACCUAUCUUGUGAAUAGCCACAUUCUUUGAGUAUUUCAAGAAUUGUAUCAACAUCAUCAAUAGCACCUUUGAAGGUAGUUCCUAUAGUUAAAAAAAAAACACCAUCAAGGGAAAAGUCGUAAGAUGACUAACUCCAUAAAAGAGAAGAAAUAAAUAAAAAGGAUAGAAGUUGGAGUAGGUAUAUUUACCAAUUGUGACAUUUAUAAUUGCUGGUUUGUCCUUAUUUUGAAGCAACUUUGCUCUUAAAUCUGAAUAAUCCAUCUCUCCAUUCACUGAUGUGUUUAUUGUUUCUGAAUCCAUUCUAUACAUUCUUGCAGCUUUGAAGACCGAGUAAUGAGAAUCUUUUGAUGCAUAUAAUAUUCCAUCAGGAAGUAGCUCUCUCCUACAUAAGUAAUGUUAAGAAAUUAAAGAGCACUGAAACAAUAAGAGAAGUUAUUAUGAUAUAUACUCGAGUCAAUAUAUAUAUAUACAUGAACUUACCCUAACAAAAUACCAUGGAGAUUGCCUUCGGUGCCACCAUUGGUAACAUAUCCCCAGUAUUGAUCCUUUUCAAUUUCCCAAAGUUGUGCAAACCAAUCCAAAACAGUCACUUCAAAGUCUUUAGAAUGGAAAUCGACAGUGUUUUGUAGGAAAGGAUCACCACAAUUGUUUAGGUGAAACUGUAAAAGUGGUGCUAAAGAUGCAUAGUGAUCAUAACAUAUGUUGACUGGAUAACCUAAAUGAUAAUUGACUCGUCGCGUAAGUGUGUCCAAAUAAUUGACCAAGAUAGUGUCCAAAGAGGGACCAUCAUUGUUCAAAGCAGGCUCCAUGACUUCAAGUUGUAAGUUCUUCCUUGGGCCUGCACCUGAUUGUUCCACCUUCUGUUUUUUGUUGUCCACAUUUGGAAACAAUCUUCGCCGCGCUAAACUUCUAGGUGUCAUCGCUGCUAAACUUCUGGGUGUCAUGGGUGAUGGCUCAAAAUCCUGUCAAAUAUCAUAGUUCAAUUAAAGAUAUAAUUAAGUAAAUUAAAAAUAUAUUUUGUGAUCUAAUGAGGAUGUCUGAGAGAUAAUAUACAACAAUAUUGUGCAUGUAACUAGCUAAGAUGAAGAGUACAUACCAUUUCAAGUGAAAGGCUAUCCAUUCUCGUGAAAUUCAAAUUUAUAUUUUUAUAGUAUGUUUUCUGUUUGCUUAGAAUAAAGCAGAAGUAUUUAUAUUGUUGAGUGCAUUUUGUUGAUAUGUCUUGCAUACUUAUAUAUAGGAUUAUAGGUCUUAUCGUGCAUGCACCAACUACUCCUUUAAUUUCCUCUCUUUUUCUUUCAAUUGUGUGUCCCACUUGUUUUUUCUACAGUUCUAUUAAGUAUAUUAUAUAUGUCGCAAAUGAUGAACUUUUCACAUGUGCGAUUUUGACCAAGACAUUCUUAGAAGGUGACAAUUCAACCUACCAGCCAAUAUUAUGAAUGAUGGGACGGUGAGAUUAAUAAUAACACAAAUUCAAAUAAACUAAACAUGCAAAUAUACUAUAGUCACAAAUUAAACGCGGGGAGUAAAAAAAAAAAAGCAUACUAAAGACGUAUAAAAUAAUAUGUUGGAUUAUUACUUUUACAAUUUAAUCAUCUACGUUCUAUUUUAGCCCUUAUUUUUCUGAUAAUUACUAAACCUCAUUAACCUUUGCCAUAUUACUGUAUGUAUUAUGUAAAAAAUACUUAAAAUAAUGUUCAUGUUUAAAUAUACUUAAAUAUAACUUCAAAAAAACGAAAUGUCAAUUGGAGAACACAUUAUAAGUUGUUUCAAAUUUGAAACACAAAUUUUAAGUUGAACUUAGAACUUUUAUGAUCAAACACUGAUUUUCAAAUAAAGUAAAAAUACAAAACAUUCGAAAAAAAUAUUCCCACGGUCCUUUUUUACCUGUCCUAUUUUGACUUUUAGUUAUUUAUUUUUACUUGUUAUUUUUGACAUAUCAAGAAAAUAACACUUUCUUUGUCCUUAAUUAUUUGUUCACAUUUCCUUUUUUAAUUGUCUCUAAUUACUUGUCAAUUUUGACAAAUCAAGAAAGGACAAUUAAUUAAUAAGCGCAUUAUAUUAAUUAUUUAUUUUUUAAUAAAUAUGUCAAUUUAAAAUUAGACAAACAAGAAUAGAGAAAAUAUUAUACCCUCAAUUUAUUUGGAAAGUUAUACUUUUUGGAAAAGGUAGAACCUUUGUAAUGAAUAAGUAAAUAGGACAAAUAAUGAAUAAUUCUUUAUAGUCAAACGAGGACUAAUGUAUUUUGCAUUCACUAUGAUGCUACUGAUUCUGUCUGAAUCCAAGAAAGUGUAAUGUACGUAGCCUAAUUCACUCCACCAAAUGUCAAUAAUUAGGAACCAAAAUAGUUGGAGCUUUUUCAAAGACACAACAAGUCAACCUUUCAAUUGGUCUACUUUUAACACUGUUCACAACAAUUAUAAUUUUUAAAAUGUUAUUACAAAUAUAAAUGUGUUACUAAUAACAUGUUAAAUACUAUGAAAACUUUUUUAUUCUGUCCCAACUUAAAUUUGAAUUUUUUUUUAUUGAAUUAAGGUUUAGCUUCUAGAUUUAAUUUUUAAUUAUUUUGGAUUUCAGACUUGUGAUUAAUUAUAUUUGAAAUAUUCUUUUUUAUUUUUGUAGUGAACUUAUAUUUAGCCCCAUCAGUUAGACGCUCAACCAUAUGGAAAAUGCCAAGUCCAAUAAAAUUUUUGUUAGCCUAAUCAUUUCAAAAUCAAUCAACUUUAAUUGAGAAUUUAGAUAUAGACUAACAAAUCAUUUCAAAAUCAAUCAAUUUUAAUUUAGAAUUUAGAUAUAGACUAACAAAUCAUUUCAAAAUCAAUCAACUUUAAUUGAAAAUUUAGAUAUAGACUAACAAAUCAUUUCAAAAUCAAUCAAUUUUAAUUUAGAAUUUAGAUAUAGACUAUCCACUUGGCCUUUCUCCGUGAUCAUCUCAAUAGAACUCUAUAUAUGCCGCUAAACAAAAAUAAUCUUUAACCUAAUGACGAUAAAUUCACACAUUAAUAAAGAGUGAUAAAGUAUUUAUCGACAUUACUUAGCUAUUAUAGAUUUAAUAUCAUUAUAAGUUUUAGAAUAUUUAAUAAUAGUUAAAUUAUUAUUGUUAAUUAAUUACCGUUAAAAAUAUUUUUGAUGAAGUGAAGGGUGGAACCUAAUUCUAACUAUUAUUGCUGAACGCUUGCUAAUUCAAACAACUGAAAUUUCCAAACUUAAUAAAGAUGGAUAUUACAAUGUACGAGGUUAAAGUAUGCUAGAAUUUGAAAACAGAGAGCAUUAAAGAUUUUAUAAGAGGCAAAUGUUGUAUUUUGCAUUAUACAAUAUUCUUUUAAGUUAUGUAUCGUUUCUUUAAAGAAUUUAUGCCUCACUAGACAUAAAUUUAAUUUCUAAAGACAAAAAUUAAAGAUCAGUCCAUAAUAAUGAAAAUUUCUUAGUUAAAAAAAGAAAAAAUCAGUCCAUAUGGAAAACAAAUAGUUUAAUUAAAUGGAAUUGAAUUAAGCUUUUAAGCUUACCAAACGAUCUCACUCUAAACGAAUGAACGUGGAAUCAUGAAGAGUAAAGACUAUGCAUUUUUCUCCAUAUAAUAUGCUAGUUACAUGUUAUGUAAUUUUUCUGGAAUUGUCCGUGUUUGAUCCACUCACUAUUUAUAUUAAGCAAAACUUAAUUUAAACAUACUACCACUAUAGUCUACACUCUAUAGACAGCAAAACAAAUUAUUACUUUCUUUUUUCUUACAACAUUCUAACUUUUAAGUAUGUCAGCAUCAUAUAUUAUUACAAGCAAGAAGCUCAAAACUUAAAAGUUGAAUUACUAUUUUGUCUCUCUAAAAAAUUAUAACAUUUAUAAUUUUCAUAUAUAUAAUCUUCUUAAUUUCAUUCCAUAAUCUUGACCUUUCAAAUUUCUAACACAAAUGUAAAUAAAAAUAAAAAUGAGUAAUUAUUCCUUAUAGACAAGAAAUUAAAAUACAUUCAUGUAUCUUUAAAAUUAAAUUUCAUCUCUAUCUUUUUUAUAUUUAUUGUAACAAUAAUUCAUGUGACUUUUCAUGUUUUCAUAAUUUUGUUCUAUAAAUUUAACUUUUUCAAGAAAAUCUUUUAUUUACCACUCCUACAAUUCUUGUGUGUAGAAACCCUAAACAUGUGAAAUAAUGUCAUAAUUUGAGGUGAAAGUUGUGAGAUCCCUUCUGCAGUCACGAGAAUAGACAAGAAUUUAAUUACUGAAGCAUCAGAGCUUGAUGUGUUAGUUCUAUACUUAUUUGUAGUAAGAAUUAUAAUAAGAUUUUUUUGACUCUCUUCAUAUAUAGUUGAAUUCUUGUUUUAUUAGCAAAUUGCUCUAAAUUCAUAUUUGUAUUUUGUAUGCUCAAAUGUUCAGUUUCACUAUAGAGACAAAUAAAAUGAAAUGUCUAAUUAUCUUGCUCAUCUGUACCUUUUCUUUUUUCUCUUUUUGCUUUGUACUUAUAAUUUUACAUAUACAUUAAUUUUCAUCUUUAAGAAUGAAUGUGAUAAAAUAGGAUGUUUAGUCUUUUCUUUUCUUUUUAUGAAAAAAAAGGUGAAACAUUAGAUUAAUGGUGGAUAAGUUAUGUAUGAAGAGAAAAUUAAAUUUUAUAUAAAAAUAGUAGUUAUUCAUAAAUAUUUUGAUUUCAAAAUAUAAAUAAUAAGACUUUUUACAUUUAAGUUUUAAAUAUUUAUAGUUAACUAAUUAGUUUGAAGUGUUUGUGGAUAAAAAUUUAAUACAAUAUUUUAAACAUAUUCAUUAUAAUUAUCAGGAGAUUCAAAAGGCAAAGUAAAAAAGUUGAAAGGUUUUGUUUUCCUUUCACUCAAAGUUAAUCUUACACUAUUUCUUCUAACAUUAUUCUACCAAUAAAACGUAACUAUCAAGAAAUUUAAUUUAAAUAGUUGUUAUUUUUCCUUUUUGCUUUACAAACUUAUUUUUUGAAUUAUAAACGAAGUUUAUUUUAUUAAUUUCUCAUAUUGUUAUCUCGAUGCAUUCACUAGGAGGUCAGAAAAUUGGAGUGUCACAAUUAGUAGUAAAACAAAGUAAGAAAUCUCAAUUAGACAUAUUUUAUUAUUUAUUAAUAUUAUCUUUUAAGAAAUAAUACACUCAUGAGUUACACGCGCAAAGCGCGUGCUCGGAAACUAGUAUAUAUAUAUAUAUAUGGACCAACAAUAUUUACGUGUAUUCAUGUAAACAGUGGAGGAGUUAGAAUUUUAUCUAAGGAGUGUCAAUAUAUUAAGAAAUAAAAUCGCGUAGAAGCCAAGGAGUGUCAAUAUGUAAUAUAUAUAUAUAUAUAUAUAUAUAUAUAUAAAUUUUUUAUUCUAGCUACAUAAUUUUCCGACGAAAGGGUGUCGGUCGACACCCCUUUUAACUAUAUGUGGCUCCGCCACUGAUUGUACAUCUCAGUAGUCAGUUCCCUUCAUUCAUAAUCUUAUUUGAAUCGCAAAUUAACAGUUACUCAAAGAUCAUAAAGAGUGUUAACUUUUUCAUUGAAAAAUGUUUCAGUUAUAUAUGUUGUUGAAUGCCUUGAAUCAGGCCCUUAAUUUUCUGUUGAUUCUGUAUGUUGGGCCCAAGCCUUUUAGGGCGUAGCUUAGCACUAUAUAUAGACGCUAUGUCAAACCCUAUUCUGUAACUCUGUUUUUGCCUCUCCAUAAUAAAACUGCUCCCUCUCUUCCCGUGGACGUAGCCAAUUUAUUGGUGAACCACGUAAAUCUGUUGUCUUAUUUUUCUCGUUUAUAUAUUUUCUCGUAUUAUCUCAAAUUUCGCACAACAAAUUGGUAUCAGAGCCUCUCGGUUAAUCGGUGUUCUUGGAGAAUUCGAGAUGUCUGCUUUGAACGUGAAAAUCGACAAAUUCACAGGGAGGAACAGUUUCAGUUUAUGGCAGAUCAAGAUGCGGGCUUUGUUGAAACAGCAAGGCUUCUGGGCGUCGUUGUCGAAAGACAAGAACGCCGUUGUUACUCCUGAGAUGGAGAUUCUGGAGGAAAAGGCGCACUCGACAAUCAUGCUGUGUCUCGCGGAUGACGUCAUCACGGAGGUCUCGGAUGAAGAGACUGCUGCUGGUCUGUGGUUGAAGCUGGAGAGUUUGUACAUGACAAAAUCUCUAACCAACAAGCUGCUUCUGAAACAACGUCUAUUCGGUUUACGAAUGGCUGAAGGUACACAACUCAGGGAACACUUCGAGCAAUUGAAUACUUUGUUAUUAGAAUUGCGUAAUAUCGAUGUGAAGAUCGAGGAUGAAGAUGCUGCCCUGAUUCUGUUAGUAUCUCUCCCAAUGUCGUUUGAGAAUUUUGUUCAAUCGUUCAUUGUUGGGAAAGAUACUGUGUCACUGGAAGAAGUCAGAUCGGCCCUUCAUAGCAGGGAAUUACGGCAUAAGGCUAACGGCACAAGUACGGACAUACAGCUUUCCGGUCUGUUCACCAGUAGCGGAAAGGGAAGGAAAAACGGCGGAAAGAAAAAUAAGCCGAUGUCGAAGGGUGCAAAGCCGGAUGAUGCUUGUAAUUACUGCAAGGAGAAGGGACAUUGGAAAUUUGAUUGUCCGAAGAAGAAGAAGCAAUCGGAAAAACAAUCAGUGUCUGCUGCUGUUGCUGAAGAAGACACCAAUUCUGAAGAAGAUAUUGCCCUAGUUGCGGAUGAGCACACUCAUCAUUCAGAUGUGUGGGUUCUUGAUUCUGGGGCAUCCUAUCACAUCUGUCCUAGGAGAGAGUGGUUCACGACUUAUGAGCAGGUAGACGGAGGCAGCAUCUCGAUGGCCAACAGUUCUGUCUGCAAGGUGGUUGGGACAGGCUCGAUCAAGAUAAGGACACAUGACGGUAGCUUCUGCACAUUGAACGAGGUCAGGCACGUUCCAUUGAUGAUGAAAAAUCUGAUAUCUCUCAGUCUUUUGGACAGCAAGGGAUUCAGCUGGUCGGGAAAAGAUGGAGUCUUGCGGGUCUGGAAGGGUUCAAAUUUGAUUCUGAAAGGUGUCAUGCGUGGUACUUUGUAUUUUCUACAAGGUUCCACGGUUACAGGUUCAGCCCAUGUUGCAUCGUCAGAAUUUCACCAGAAGGAUAUGACUAAGUUAUGGCACAUGAGACUUGGUCAUAUGGGUGAAAGAGGGAUGCAAAUUCUGUCAAAGGAGGAUUUACUUGCUGGUCAUAAGGUUAAGAGCCUAGAGUUUUGUGAACAUUGUGUUUUUGGAAAACUACAUCGCAACAAGUUUCCAAAGGCCAUUCAUAGAACAAAAGGCACACUUGAUUAUAUCCAUUCUGAUUGAUGGGGUCCAUGCCGUGUUGAGUCUUUGGGAGGCUGCAGAUUUUUUGUGUCCAUUAUUGAUGACUACUCAAGGAUGACUUGGGUGUACAUGAUGAAGCAUAAAAGUGAAGCCUUCCAGAAGUUCAAGGAGUGGAAAAUUUUGAUGGAAAAUCAAACAGGGAAGAAGAUCAAGAGGUUGCGAACUGAUAAUGGGCUGGAAUUCUGUUGGUCUGAAUUUGAUCAAUUCUGUAAGGAUGAAGGGAUUGCUCGACAUCGUACAGUCAGAAAUACACCACAGCAGAACGGUGUAGCUGAGCGGAUGAAUCAAACACUUCUGGAGAGAGCAAGGUGCAUGCUCUCUAAUGCUGGGCUAGAUAGAAGAUUCUGGGCAGAAGCGGUUAGUACAGCUUGCUACUUGAUUAACCGCGGACCACAUACAGGCAUACAGUGCAAGACACCUAUGGAGAUGUGGUCAGGAAAAGUUGCUGAUUAUUCAAAUCUGAAAGCUUUUGGUUGUACGGCUUACUAUCACGUCAGUGAAGGUAAGUUAGAACCAAGAGCUAAAAAGGGAGUAUUUGUGGGCUACGGAGAUGGAGUGAAAGGUUUCAGAAUCUGGUCUCCAGCAGAAAAGAGGGUUAUUAUGAGCAGGAACGUUGUCUUUGAUGAAAGUUCUCUGCUUAGAACCAUUGUGAAGCCUACAACUACGUCAGAAACUGGGAGUCUUGACAAACAGGUGGAGUUUCAAGUCAUUCAGAACGAGAGCGAUUUAAAGGAACCUGAAGAGGAGGAUCAAGAUCCACAGACAGAAACUGAUAUUCCAGAAUCUAUGCCAUCAGAUAUCCAUCAGAGUAUAGCUCAAGAUCGGCCAAGGAGGGUUGGAGUUCGGCCACCUACGAUGUAUGGUUUUGAGGACAUGGUGGGUUAUGCACUGCAGGUUGCUGAAGAGGUAGAUACAUCUGAGCCGUCUACUUACAAAGAAGCCAUUUUCAGUUCUGAUUCUGAAAAAUGGUUUGCCGCUAUGGGAGAUGAGAUGGAGUCCCUACACAAGAAUCAGACAUGGGAUCUGGUCAUACAGCCUUUGGGGAGAAAGAUUAUUACUUGCAAAUGGGUUUUCAAGAAGAAGGAAGGGAUAUCACCAGCAGAAGGAGUCAAGUAUAAAGCCAGGGUUGUUGCCAGAGGUUUCAACCAAAGAGAGGGAGUGGACUACAAUGAGAUCUUCUCACCAGUGGUCAGACAUACUUCCAUCCGAGUGUUACUAGCGAUAGUUGCACAUCAGAAUCUGGAGCUUGAACAACUUGAUGUGAAGACUCUCGUUUCUACAUGGAGAGUUGGAGGAAGAGAUAUACAUGACUCAGCCGGAUGGUUUCCAAGUUACAGGGAAGGAAAAUCACGUCUGCAAGUUGAAGAAGUCCUUAUAUGGACUUAAGCAGUCUCCAAGGCAGUGGUAUAAAAGGUUUGACAGCUAUAUGGUGAAGUUGGGCUAUACUCGGAGCUCAUAUGAUUGUUGUGUCUACUACAAUAGGCUCAAUGAUGAUUCAUUCAUCUAUCUGGUGCUUUAUGUAGAUGAUAUGUUGAUAGCUGCAAAGAAGAAGUAUGACAUUCAGAAGCUGAAGGGUUUACUUAGUGCUGAGUUUGAGAUGAAGGAUCUGGGAGCCGCUCGGAAGAUUUUAGGGAUGGAGAUCAUUAGAGACAGAGAGAGAAGGAAACUUUUCUUGUCACAGAGAAGCUACAUUCAGAAGGUCUUGGCGAGGUUUGGCAUGUCUUCAUCUAAGCCCAUUGAUACCCCCAGUGCUGCCAAUAUCCAUCUCACUGCCAUGUUCGCUCCACAGUCAGAAGAAGAGAAGGAGUAUAUGUCACGAGUCCCUUAUGUCAGUGCCGUAGGAAGUUUGAUGUAUGCUAUGGUCUGUACAAGGCCAGAUUUAGCACAUGCAGUCAGUGUAGUGAGCAGAUUCAUGGGACAACCAGGGAGAGAACAUUGGCAGGCUGUGAAGAGAAUUUUCCGGUACCUUAGAGGUACAUCUGACGUUGGUCUCAUUUAUGGAGGUGAUACUCAGUGCUUGGUUACUAGCUAUUCUGAUUCAGACUAUGCUGGAGAUGUUGACACAAGAAGAUCGAUGACUGGCUAUGUGUUUACCCUUGGAGGAUCUGUCGUCAGUUGGAAGGCAACUUUGCAACCUACAAUGACUUUGUCUACUACGGAAGCGGAGUACAUGGCCUUGACAGAGGCUGCAAAAGAAGGGAUUUGGUUGAAAGGGCUGGUUAGUGAUCUUGGUCUGCAUCAUGAUCAGGCUACGGUGUAUUGUGACAGUUUGAGCGCAAUUUGUCUAGCCAAGGAUCAAGUCCAUCAUGAGAGAACCAAGCAUAUCGACGUAAGGUAUCAUUUUCUGAGAAGUGAGAAGAGAAUCAAGGUGAAGAAAGUAGGAACUGCUGAUAAUCCUGCUGAUAUGUUCACAAAGCCGGUUCCACAGAGCAAGUUUCAACACUGUUUGGACUUGUUCAACAUCAGAAGCUGUUAAUUGCCCUGCGGGGCAACUCUGAGGAAGAGGGGGAGGCCUGGCACUAUCAUAGUGCGUCUGAAGAAUCUGUUCGGAGAAUUCAAGUCAAGGUGGAGAUUUGUUGAAUGCCUUGAAUCGGGCCCUUAAUUUUCUGUUGAUUCUGUAUGUUGGGCCCAAGCCUUUUAGGGCGUAGCUUAGCACUAUAUAUAGACGCUAUGUCAAACCCUAUUCUGUAACUCUGUUUUUGCCUCUCCAUAAUAAAACUGCUCCCUCUCUUCCCGUGGACGUAGCCAAUUUAUUGGUGAACCACGUAAAUCUGUUGUCUUGUUUUUCUCGUAUUAUCUCAAAUUUCGCACAACAUAUGUUAUCCAAUAGUACAAUAUAUCAUGUAUACAAUUGAAUUUCAAUAUUGUAAAUAAAAGAAUGAAGUAACAAGAGUUAAAAAAUGCCAUUUCUUUGCAAUAAAUUAAAUAACUGGAUGAUCUUAUCUUCUGUGCCUUCUAUGGAGUACUAAUGUAAUCAAUCUUAUGAUAAGAGCAUGCAACAAUAUCUUCUCCAACACAAGGAGGAUUGGUCUUUCCAUUUUGAUACCAUGCUUUUCUUUGUUGCACUAGUUCACUCAGGAAGUUGUCAAGCAUUUCUCGUGUGAUGCCUGGCAUUACAAUAACAUGUGCCAUAUCCUUGACGCAUGAAAGUUGCCAUCGACGCACAAAUUCAUGGUCACGAGGCCUUUCAAGUACAACUAUGAUGCUAAGCUCAUUCAGCAUGACACUUAUCCCUGCUUGUUGAAGACGAUCUUUCAAAUAUUUGGCAUUGUCGAGACAUCUUUUAACAUCCUUUUGAAGUCCAACUUGACCUUUUGCGCUCAAGCUAUACCAUAAGAAAAUUGGAGUUAAACCAUUACGGCUACCAGAAAUAGUGGCAUCGACAGAAGCAAUGUAUUCCACAUUUGUUGAGAGAUUAUUGAUGUAGCUUUUUCUUGUUAUUUGGACACCACAAGGCAUUGGGCAUCCUAAGAACUUGUGACCAGAAAUUGUGACACUUCCAAUUGACU